GUCGGGAUAGCUCAGCUGGUAGAGCA
rnacentral:tRNA from 60 species